rnacentral:rRNA from 1 species
AACGGUCAUACCAUGCUGAAUAUACCGGUUCUCGUUAGAUCACCGAAGUCAAGCAUCAUUGGGCGCGGUCAGUACUUGGGUGGGUGACCACCUGUGGAACACCGCGGGCCG